rnacentral:rRNA from 1 species
AGAGUUUGAUCCUGGCUCAGGAUGAAUGCUAGCGGCGUGCUUGAGAUAUGCAAGUCGAGCGCCCCAUUUGACCGCAAGGUUGAAUGGGAGCGGCGGACGGCUGAGUAAUAUGCAGGAACCUACCCCUAGGUAGAGGAUAGCCCCGGGAAACCGGGGGUAAUACUUUAUGGUAUCACGAUUUUAUCGCGAUUAAAGAGCUUAACCGCUCGCCAAGGGAUGGGCCUGUAUCCUAUCAGGUAGUUGGUAAGGUAACGGCUUACCAAGCCUAUGACGGGUAGCUGAUCUUAGAGGAUGAUCAGCCAGAGGGGGACUGAGACACGGCCCCCACUCCUACGGGAGGCAGCAAUCAGGAAUAGUCGGCAAUGGACGAAAGUCUGACCGCGCGACGCCGCGUGUAGGAAUAAGCUUUUCGGAGUGUAAACUACUGUGGUAGGGGAAGAAGUCCCAUCGUAAGAUGGGAUUGACGGUACCCUAUUAGAAAGGGGCCGCUAACUGCGUGCCAGAAGCGUCGGUAAUACGUGGGCUCCAAGCAUUAUCCGGUUUUAUUGGGCGUAAAGGGUCGUGUAGGCGGUUUGAUAAGUUAUCUUUGAAAUUCCAAUGCUCAACAUUGGAAUUGGAGAUAAAACUAUCUAACUAGAGUUUUCUUCAGGGGGAUUGGAACUCAAGGAGGAGUAGUGAAAUGCGUUGAUACCUUGAGGAACACCAAUGGCGAAGGCAGAUCCCUGGGAGAUAACUGACGCUGAGACACGAAAGCUAGGGGAGCGAAGCAGAUUAGAGACCUGCGUAGUCCUAGCCCUAAACGAAUGUCUGCUACCUGCAUGUUUUACCUUCGGGUAUAACGUGUGGGAAAGGUAACCCGUUAAGCAGACCGCCUGGGGAGUACGACCGCAAGGUUAAAACUCAAAGGAAUUGACGGG